CAGUCGCCGCGGUAAUACGAAGGGUGCAAGCGUUAAUCGGAAUUACUGGGCGUAAAGCGUGCGUAGGCGGUGAGUUAAGUCUGCUGUGAAAUCCCCGGGCUAACCUGGGAAUGGCAGUGGAUACUGGCUCGCUAGAGUGUGUCAGAGGAUGGUGGAAUUCCCGGUGUAGCGGUGAAAUGCGUAGAGAUCGGGAGGAACAUCAGUGGCGAAGGCGGCCAUCUGGGACAACACUGACGCUGAGGCACGAAAGUGUGGGGAGCAAACAGGAUUAGAUACCCCCGUAGUCCCUGUCUCUUAUACA
rnacentral:rRNA from 1 species